AACGAACGCUGGCGGCAUGCCUAACACAUGCAAGUCGAACGAGACCUUCGGGUCUAGUGGCGCACGGGUGCGUAACGCGUGGGAACCUGCCCUUAGGUUCGGAAUAACUCCCCGAAAGGUGUGCUAAUACCGGAUAAUGUCUUCGGACCAAAGAUUUAUCGCCUUUGGAUGGGCCCGCGUUAGAUUAGCUAGUUGGUAGUGUAAAAGCCUACCAAGGCGACGAUCCAUAGCUGGUCUGAGAGGAGGACCAGCCACACUGGGACUGAGACACGGCCCAGACUCCUACGGGAGGCAGCAGUGGGGAAUAUUGGACGAUGGGCGAAAGUCUGAUAAAGCAAUGCCGCGUGAGUGAUGAAGGCCUUAGGGUUGUAAAGCUCUUUUAGCCGGGAUGAUAAUGACAGUACCGGGAGAAUAAGCUCCGGCUAACUACGUG
rnacentral:rRNA from 1 species